rnacentral:lncRNA from 1 species
UAUAUUUUUGUUUUGUUUGAAUGUUACAUACGUACAGAGCAGAAAUGAACAAAAAGGAGAACCUCUAAGUAGCUAUGAAAAUCCAUGCCUGAAAAUUGUGCACAAGCCUUCCCACUAGCUCUGUGUCUGUGGAGCUUAACCUCGUCUCUGAAUCUAUGCCUACAACUGUACAAAUUAGGCACUUUCCCUGUAAAGAUAAGAUCAUUUCUUCUGCACCAAAUCACCCAGGUUAUAACAUGCACCACCUCCAAGAAGAAUGGCUUUGCUAGAUUCUGCCCGUUGCUCUAACUGGAGCUCCAUUGCCUCUACUAGCUGCAUUCCACCCCUUUCAUCUAUUGCACGCUGAAGAUCUUCCUUCUUGCCCUCUGCUGCACGAACUGUAUCAAUCCUAGCAUUACCAACAAGGAACCAGUGAGCAACUGGAAACUCCACAUACUCCCAACUACCAGCGCUGGAAAUGUAGUUUAUCAACCAAAACAGAUCAGAAAAAUGAGAACUUUGUUGCAGGAAAAAGCCUUCAAAUUAAUCAAACAAAAGCAUAGGAGGCAGGAACUUACACCGUGUUUGGUGCAAUUGUAAAACACCC